AACGAACGCUGGCGGCAUGCCUAACACAUGCAAGUCGAACGAGACCUUCGGGUCUAGUGUCGCACGGGUGGGUAACGCGUGGGAACCUGCCUUUAGGUUCGGAAUAACGCCCCGAAAGGCGUGCUAAUACCGGAUAAUGUCUUCGGACCAAAGAUUUAUCGCGUUUGGAUGGGCCCGCGUUGGAUUAGCUAGUUGGUAGGGUAAAAGGCUACCAAGGCGACGAUCCAUAGCUGGUCUGAGAGGAUGAUCAGCCACACUGGGACUGAGACACGGCCCAGACUCCUACGGGAGGCAGCAGUGGGGAAUAUUGGACAGUGGGCGAAAGCCUGAUCCAGCAAUGCCGCGUGAGUGAUGAAGGCCUUAGGGUUGUAAAGCUCUUUUACCCGGGAUGAUAAUGACAGUACCGGGAGAAGAAGCUCCGGCUAACUCCGUG
rnacentral:rRNA from 1 species